AAAGGCUUUCGCAGAAAGUCCGCGUACAUCUCUCCGUACCCUCGCAGAGUAAAGUGUUUCUGUUUGAGAGAGAGAGAGAGAGAGAGAGAGAGAUGGGCGUUAUAACGGAGGGCAGCAUCUCCGGCAAUCUUCCAGAUGCUGAAGCCUUCGCCGUUAACUAUCCGGGCUACCCUUCUUCGACUUCUCGCGCCAUUGACACUCUCGGCGGCAUCGAUGAAAUCCUCAAGACACGCAACUCACCGACGAACAAAUUGGAUCUUCGUUUUCGCCCUGAAGACCCCUAUUGUCAUCCCACAUCUGGUAAACUUCAUCCAUGUAGUGGUCUUCUGCUUAGGGUAUAUAAAAAGAGGUCUACCGAUGACAAAGAUGCUGCUGUCACUAAAGAGAAACAAAAGCAUUCGUCAACAGGCAUGCUUAAUUCAAAGUCAAAACCUUGCUUUACUGAACCUUGCAAUGAUGGACAACAAGGUGACACGUCUGGGACUCAAAUGUCUACCGUAAUUGAUGAAAAGGUUGCACAAACACGUGAAGAAGCAUCAUCAUCCACACAACUAUGCGCUGAUAUUGUGGCUAGAGUGCCCGAAGCCUAUCAUUUUGAUGGAAUGGCAGACUACCAAUAUGUUCUCCCUGUUCAUGCCGAUGUGGCCAGGCGAAGGAAGAGACAUUCGACUGAAGGGGAAGCACACUUUGAGAAGGGUGGCCUUUUGGACUUAGAUCAGGAUGAUUUGAUGUGUCUGGUCCCUCCGUUUUUCUCACACAAGGACAAGGACGAGCCAGGGAAUUUAGUGUUAAAGCAUCACAAUUUGAAUUCAAAAAGGAGAUAUGCGUCAGUUCUGCGAAAUCAGUGGGAGAUGGAAAUUGAGCCAUGCUUUGCAAUUGAUUUUAACAUAGAAGAGAUUCCUAAGAAGAUUAAUUGGGAGGAUAACAUUCCCCAAGGUUCAGCUUCCUGGGAGUGGCAGAUGGUUAUGUCAAAACUGUUUGAUGAACGGCCGAUAUGGCCUAGGCGGUCAGUGCAUGACCAUCUGCUUGUGAAUGGUCUAAAGGUCACCAUUGAUCAAUUGAAAAGGCUUUUCCUUAGGAAUGCAUAUUACUUCGCCACUGGACCGUUCGGCCACUUCUGGAUCAAAAAAGGAUAUGACCCCCGUAAGGAUCCCGAAUCCCGGAUAUAUCAAAGAGUUGAUUUUCGACUUCCAUAUCAGUUGAGAACUUCUGGGGAGAUGAGCACAGUUGAUGAGUUAAAGCAUACAUGGAAGGAUAUAUGUGAAUUUCGAGCUUUUCCGUCUAAGAGUUUUAUGUGCUUGCAAUUUUUUGAACUUGCUGAUGACUACAUUCAAGAAGAAAUCAGAAAACCUGCUGAACAGACCACCUGUACACAUUUGACGGGAUGGUUCUCUAAGAAUUUGUUUGAAAGUUUGAAGUUACGUGUUUCCAUGAAGUUCCUUUCAAUAUGUCCACGAGUUGGUGCAAAAGACUUGUUUAAUUCUGUAUCAGAACGCUUUGAAAGGAGCAAGAGGCUGCAAGUUCAUGGAAGAGACUCAAGGCCUGAUGAAGAGGAGCAUCAACUUGUUAUCAGAGACCCCAACAAUCUUUCUGCUGAUGGACUGGACAUUAGAUCUAACGACACAGAAAUUGCAUGUGAUGAUGAUGAUGAUGAUGAAGCUGAGGAUGAGGAAGAGGAGGAAGAAGAAGAAUAUGGAUUACCCUAUGGGGAUGGUGGAGACAGCAAUUUCUCUUUGGAUCCAAGUUCUUAUCCUGUUGGAGAAAACAUCUCCAAUGGCUACCUGCAGCAGCUCUUCGGCUCCCUUCCAUUCAUCGAUGGAAACUACAGUGAUGCCCAGGAUGCCAACAUAAGUGAUGGGGAAUAUCAGAUAUAUGAGCAGGACAGCGGUGGUGACAGUGACAACUACAACGACAACGAGGAUGAUGGUUUUUAAUAUGAUGCUGUUAAAAUUUAUAUUUUGCAGUUGAAGUGAUUUAUAGAGGCCAGAGAAAUACUCUUUAAUAGUCUGAGACAGUGCUGGUUCAUACACAUGGAGUCAGAAAUCAUACCAGUGGCAUCACUCAAAUCAAACCCUGCAAAUCAUGGCCCACACUUUAGAUGGGUUAUAAACCAGAUUUUACGCUGAGCCAAUGUCUGAACUGGCAGAUUGGUGGACAUCUAAUGGAUGGCUGAAAUGAAAAGCAGUCAACGGUCCAAGUGAAACAAGCAAAUGUCUCUUAGCCAUUGGGAUCAUUCCAUCAAUCUCAUUUUCAGGCCACCAAUCGGAGGGUUAGGAUCGCCCCAUGGAGAAGAUUUUGGGGCAUGCUCCCUCCACUUGUACAAACUGAGGUCCUGGAUACCAUGCAUCUCUUUUGAAGUUUGGUGCAUGUAGACUGUUCCCAAUGGUCUCUCCAUGUAUGAAUUGAGAUUAUCUGAAGCUGAAUGUUAUGUUUAAUCUUGCCUUUGAUUUUGUA